CUUUCACACAUCAUCAACCACACAGAUCCUGACUCUCUCAGUCAGGCUUAUGUGUGUGAGCAUUUAGAGCAGUGAUGUUACUGUGGCCAGACAAGAGGACACGUCUUCAAAGAGAGGAAGUGCAAAUGAUCAAGGAAAGAAAAUGUCUUAUUCUCAGUACUUCAUCACAUGUAUUCACUGUUACAUAUUUAUGUUGUGUAUCAUUUCAUUUUAGGAAAGGCCCAACAAGCCAAACAGCAACCAUGUGACUCCAGUUGUCUGUUAAUUCAUGUCAUUACUCAGGAUGAAGGCGUGCUGCAAUACCUUAAGAAAAUCAUCAGAGGCAACAUUGUGUCUACCUGGGCCAAGAAGGAGGACAGGGUCUUCAGUCUUUUUGAAGAUGAUGACCAAGUGGACCAGGUGAUGCCCUUGUUGUCUGGAGUGGUUGAAAGUCCACAGACAGAUAAGAAGUCUGCAGAUCCUGUGGCUUUAAUCAUACAGAGAGAUAACUCAGCUUCAGAGCCACAUAUCCAAGGAAGCAAGGCUCAAACUGGAAAGCCUUAGAGAGUGAGGACUUUGUCGUUAGGCGUCUGUAAUCCCUGAC